rnacentral:rRNA from 1 species
UACGUAGGACUGAGCGUUGUCCGGAAUCAUUGGGCGUAAAGAGCGUGUAGGCGGCCACUUAAGUCCUGCGUGAAAUCUUGCGGCUCAACCGCAAGCGGUCGUGGGAAACUGGGUGGCUAGAGUGCGGGAGAGGAGAGUGGAAUUCCUGGUGUAAGCGGUGGAAUGCGCAGAUAUCAGGAAGAACACCCGUGGCGAAGGCGGCUCUCGUGGAACGCAACUGACGCUGAGACGCGAAAGCGUGGGGAGCAAACAG